UCCUACUCCAUUUGGGGUUGGAAACUUCACCUUUAAGUGGUAGCUCAACACCACAGCUUUUAGAUCCCAUAGGCUCAGAUGGCCAAAGAUUGCAUUAUAAACUAAAGAGAGCUUGAUCACCAAAAAGUCAACUUGGAUCGUUGUCCUCUUUGGUGCAGUACCCACGAUAAGUGGGAGCUUAAUCAUCCCCUCCAAAAUCAUCAAACUUCUGG
rnacentral:lncRNA from 1 species